rnacentral:tRNA from 1 species
UCUUUGUUAGUAUAUCGGUUAGUACACGCGCCUGUCAUGUCACUGACCGCGCGAAAGCGGGGUUCGACUCCCCGACAGAGAG